rnacentral:lncRNA from 1 species
AUGAUAAAGUCUUCGUCGUUAUAUCUGAUGGAAAAGAACGUGAGAUAUACAGCCGUUCUGACCUGAACGAUCCUCAAGGUGUGGCUGUAGAUGACCAUGGCAAUGUGUUUAAUGCAGGAAUGGUAUCGAACAAUAUUCAUAGACUAUCUCAUGACGGACAGACUCAUGACAUUAUCCUGACAAAACACGAUGGUAUCAUUGGACCGACUGGUUUAUCUUACAACUGUGAAACAAGAGAACUGUUACUUAUAAACAACAAU